rnacentral:lncRNA from 1 species
CACAAUGUCAACUAGAAUGGCUGAACCCCAACCCCCCAGCACAUCAGCGCCACAGAUGCCUUUGCCAUCUCUUAGAUGCCCUGAUGAAGCCAACAACUGUGAGUACUAUUCAUUGCUCAGGAUAUCAGGAGGAAAGAGAUUCAGUGACAUGGGACAGUAACAAAACAGAUAAAGUGGCUCGAGAAAUGGCUAUACAGGAGCCUAUCCUGGUUAUAGGCCUACAAGAGACAGCCACUGGGAACUGAGAUUGGACUAAGGGAUGACCUCACUUAGAAUGUACAACAGAAAAAAAGGCCCAAGUUGUUUAAAAGAUAAAAGGACAAUGACACACUUGGGGAGAAAGCUAUACCCCCCAGAGAACAAACAAAAGACUCACUUUGCCAAAUUAAAAAAUGGACUCAUUUAAGAGAUAAAAAAUUUG